rnacentral:rRNA from 1 species
CUACGGAGGGGACUAGCGUUGUUCGGAAUUACUGGGCGUAAAGCGUACGUAGGCGGACUGAUCAGUUGGGGGUGAAAUCCCAGGGCUUAACCCUGGAACUGCCUUCAAUACUGUCAGUCUUGAGAUUGGAAGAGGUGAGUGGAAUUCCUAGUGUAGAGGUGAAAUUCAUAGAUAUUAGGAGGAACACCAGUGGCGAAGGCGGCUCACUGGUCCAAUACUGACGCUGAGGUACGAAAGCGUGGGGAGCAAACAGGAUUAGAAACCCCAGUAGUCC